GAGAUGGGGUCUCUAAGCCCUGCUUGGAAUGAGGACCCUCCCUGUCCCCUGUUCUGACACCAGAGCUGUGACCUCUCCCUGCCCACCUCACAACUAAGCCUGAUCUUUCCUAGGGCCAGUGGCCAACGUAAUCACAGAGAGAUGGGGCACCCAGCCUGCACCCCUGGUCAUGGUCCAGUCAGCAGCUCCACAUCCCCGAGCGCCCUACCCAGCCCGAGGACAGCCGUUCCCAUCUACCAGGAGUUACAACACCCUGACAGGAGCAUUUACUGCCAGAUCGAC